AACACAAAAAGAGCACGAUCAAAAUACGUUUAUGAUCAUCACUUGGGACGAGGAGGAUAUGCUUAUCUAAGAGACAAACUGGUACAAAAUAACGAACUUUCAGUUGAUGAGAUCCCCUCUCGUGCUUUAAUGUGGAGGAAAGCAAGGGAAAACAAAAACGGAGAAUACAAGAAUGUUGAUGUAAAAGACAUAGCUAA